UACAGCUCUUUCAGUGGCAUUUACUGCAGUGGAGUCGGCUGAUUAGACAGGAACCACCGGCUCCCUCUGCAUUAUAAACACACAGGCCACAGCCGACAUCACUCAUCCCCACAAAACACACAUCCGCUCGUGGGGACCGAGGACACAACCAGGAUCAGAGCAGAUAGGCUCAGUUAAACCCCUAUUGAUUACCCAGAGGGAGACAGUGAUUGGCUGUGACUGGACAGCAACCCGCUGACCCAAAGUACAUCAAAGGCGGACGUUCUGAUGGAAGCCCGGAGGCCCCAUCAAUCAAAGCCUAAUGCCAGGGGUGACAUCAGCACGACGCCACAGUCACGUCAGACUCCAGUGACGGAGGAUGCUGCGCCAGCAGUUUCAGCAAUAUUGUAAAGACCGUUGACACACACACACACUGUACUCAGACACUGAGUGGGAGGGGCAGAAGGGAAGUAGGAAAGGACUCCGAUCCUUUUCCUGUCUCAAUUUUUAAAAUGAAGUGAGAUAAUAGAAAGUCAAGGAGAACACAGAUCAAGCAGCACUUGGCUCUCUGCGUUUCAGUUAGCAUAAUGGAAUAUUAAAAAAAGCCGCAACGGAAAAUGUUUAAGUGGAACCCAGAAGAUGUUGACUUCCAAGCAGAGACACACAGUGCAGUGCCAAGCAGCAGCCAUUUGGUCUAAUUGACACGGGCUGAUUACUCCAAGUCCCUAGAGACAGGAAAUGGUGGGGCACGACUGGCAUUCUGGGCC